UCACAAUUCUCUAUAGAUUUCUCUCUCCUCCUCUGCUAAGCUUGGUCUAUUUUCUCAACUCUUCUUUGUAGAUCUCAACUCUUCAAUGGCGAAUCCAUUUGUUGCUGAGUGUCUUCUCUUUGUGUAGACACUUUAAAUCUCUCUGUGAAGGUUUCCUCAAGAUUUUUGUUUGUUUGGGAUGCAUUGCCGAAGUAUUUCUUCAUGAUUUAAGGCCUGUUUUGGGUCCUUGUACUUCCUGUACUAUGCUUCAACACAAAAACACAAGAGCAGAAAACCCAGCAUUGUUAAUGCAAGUUCCUCCAUUGUUAGUUUGCCCGGAUUAAUGACUUUUGACGACCAACAAAUGGCAUUGGGUUGCGAGUACGUACACAUUUUCUUCUCUUCUAAGGUAAUUCUCGCCAAAUCCAUUACAUUGGCUCAUUGUGGGAUGGUUUGGAUGAGUUGUCGUCAGUUUAUGCCUCCUCUUUUGUUCUCCUUUCUCUAUGACUACAGUUCUUAUGUCCUUCUAUUUUUGGGUGAAUGGCGAUUCUUUUAUUUAUUUUUUUGAACAAUUGCACUUAUGAUAUUAAACUUAAAGGCAAAUACAGAAAUUUCAUUAAUCUCCAAUGUUUCCGAUGUACCAGAUACGUUGUUGAUUGAUAAAUAAAAAUAGUAAUCAUUUCAAGAGUUGGUUGUAUUGUCAAUACAUACUUUUAAAUGCAGUAAGUUUUUACUUACUUCACUAAUAGUUAUCUUUUCUAAGAUGUUCACUAUUUGCACUUAAAUUUAGGAGCUCUUAGCAUUAGAUUUUGUCUUUGAGCUUAAAAUUUGUUUCUCAUAUUUUAUCAUAGUAAAAUGAAGAGGCUAGCUAGAUAUGAUUAUUGAGACAUCAACUGAUUUUCUAAAAUGCUCAAAGAUUAUUCUACUAAAGUUGUGUUUAAAGGUGAAAUGGAUAGGAUUUCAGCAAUAGAGGUUAGAUCCUGUUUUUCUUAUGCCUUUAUCUUUCCUUCAUCAGUAAGUUUAUCUUCUAACUUGAUAGUUUCCCUUUUCACUGUUCAGAGAUUUAUCUUUUUUUUCCACCUGUUUUGUUGUCUAUUGAGAAAGAUAUUAUGUCUGCGUUAUCAUUGAUAAUAGAGUUUAUAAACUCAAGGGUGAGACGGUAAAAGAAUUUGUUUAUUUAAAAUGUUCAAGCAUCUACCAUUGAGGGAGUAAAAUCCUUGGUUUAUUUACAAUUUUUUUUUAUUACUUUAGUUCAACUAUUCUUCUAUUAAAAGCCUAUAGCUUUGUAUCGACGAAAUCUGAAAAGUCCUGUAUACUAAUGCCCUUUCAGAAAUAUCUAUUGUAUGUUUGUAGCGGUGAAGACACGUGUUGUUUCAUUUACUCAUGUCGAACCUAAUUUCUCCUCUCUUUCUCUCAUUGAACCUUCUCAGUUAAAUUCCUUGAUGUUCUUUUCUUUUUUUAUUCCUCCCUUUCUCAUGUACAUUUAGGGACAGUGUUUGUCAUUAUCAAAUAUCAACCUUCCUUUCACAAGGAAAGAUAUGAUAUGGAGCUUUGUGCAUGUCUACUCUAAUAAAUGAUUUUGCUCUGUUAAUAAAUGAUUGGGCUUUUAAAUCUACCAAAUUGAACUUUUUUCCCUCAACAUUUUGCAGGCUGAAUACAGAUCCAACAAAUGUAUUACCUGUUUUUCUUGGAAGCAACAUUUAAAUAUAAACAUCAUCAACAAUGAAGAUGUGAAACUAAAAUUUGCUUACUCUUUUUUGGUGUUUAUGAAGGAGAAAGAACUCAACUUUACAUACAGCAACAUGCAAUUUUUUCCCCAAGCUUUGAUGUUACAGAAGUUCAAAAGAUUAUUAAGAUAUGAGCAAAGAUGACAUGUAUAAGUGGAGAUUAAAGAUGGCUACACUAAAUUGUUUAGUAAGAAUUGAGCAUGUUGUCGUCCCUGUUUCAAGUGCAACUUGAACCAUUUCACUUUGUCUCCGCGAGUAUGAAAAUGAGAGUAUUCACAUGGUGUCCACUUUGUGACUUCACAACGCUCAUCAAAUUUACUUUUCCGAAUUGGUAAAGAGAGAGGUACAUCUAAUGGAUGUAAAAUUAGCUGGCGAGCCUAACCAAGAGUUCAAGACAUGUUGGAAUGGUUCGUAAAUCAUUUCAAGUUGUAUUGUCAUAAAUGCAUGUUGAACUGAAAGUGUAGGCAAUUUUCUAUCUCAAUAUAUGAUGUACUGCCAUGUUGCAUCGAUGUGGCUCUACAUCUGCGAAAAAAAUUCUCAUUUUUUGAGAUCAAAUCUGAAAUCAAUGAUUGUUAGAUUUUACUUGAAUCAUUGUUGGCAUAAGAAUGAGUUAGAUUUUGCUCUCCGAACUGUGGAUAAUAUAGGUUGUAAUAGGCAACUCAAUUGAAAUUCUCUUUCUACUUCUUUUCACGUAAAGAAAUUCUAUGUUUCAUUCAAUUAUGUAAACAAGCACAAGAUUUUUUUUGCUAAUGUUAACUUUAACCAAGAAGGUACACUCUUGAAAUUAAAAAAAAAAAGAACUAAAAAUAAAGAGAUUUUAAUUAAAUAAAUAAAGGUAUACUACAAGUCUACAAGCUUGAAGCUAUGAGGAAAAAAAGCAGGGGAAACAGAAUUUCCCAUUAUUAUUUACAUAAAACUUCCUCAGCUUCAAAAAAAA